UGCCAGACUCCUACGGGAGGCAGCAGUGGGGAAUAUUGCACAAUGGGGGAAACCCUGAUGCAGCGACGCCGCGUGAGCGAUGAAGUAUUUCGGUAUGUAAAGCUCUAUCAGCAGGGAAGAAGAUGACGGUACCUGACUAAGAAGCCCCGGCUAACUACGUGCCAGCAGCCGCGGUAAUACGUAGGGGGCAAGCGUUAUCCGGAUUUACUGGGUGUAAAGGGAGCGUAGACGGCGAUGCAAGCCAGAUGUGAAAGCCCGGGGCUCAACCCCGGGACUGCAUUUGGAACUGUGUGGCUGGAGUGUCGGAGAGGCAGGCGGAAUUCCUAGUGUAGCGGUGAAAUGCGUAGAUAUCAGGAGGAACACCGGUGGCGAAGGCGGCCUGCUGGACUGCGACUGACGUUGAGGCCCGAAAGCGUGGGGAGCAAACAGGAUUAGAUACCCGAGUAAC
rnacentral:rRNA from 1 species